AACGUAGGUUCCGAGCGUUAUCCGGAUUUACUGGGCGUAAAGCGCGUUCAGGCGGUUUGGCAAGUCGGGCAUGAAAUCUCUCGGCACAACCGGGAGAGGUUGUCCGAUACUGCUGGACUUGAGGGCAGUAGAGGGUGGUGGAAUUCCGGGUGUAGUGGUGAAAUGCGUAGAUAUCCGGAGGAACACCAGUGGCGAAAGCGGCCACCUGGACUGCACCUGACGCUGACACGCGAAAGCUAGGGGAGCGAACGGG
rnacentral:rRNA from 1 species